GCCGGCAUAGCUCAGUUGGCCAGAGCAGCUGAUUUGUAAUCAGCGGGUCGGGGGUUCGAAUCCCUCUGCCGGCUC
rnacentral:tRNA from 1 species